ACAUGCAAGUCGAGGGCAGCAUUUUAGUUCGCUUGCAAACUGAAGAUGGCGACCGGCGCACGGGUGAGUAACACGUAUCCAACCUGCCGAUAACUCCGGGAUAGCCUUUCGAAAGAAAGAUUAAUACCGGAUGGCAUACGAAUAUCGCAUGAUAUUUUUAUUAAAGAAUUUCGGUUAUCGAUGGGGAUGCGUUCCAUUAGUUUGUUGGCGGGGUAACGGCCCACCAAGACUACGAUGGAUAGGGGUUCUGAGAGGAAGGUCCCCCACAUUGGAACUGAGACACGGUCCAAACUCCUACGGGAAGCAGCAGUGAGGAAUAUUGGUCAAUGGGCGAGAGCCUGAACCAGCCAAGUAGCGUGAAGGAUGAAGGCUCUAUGGGUCGUAAACUUCUUUUAUAUGGGAAUAAAGUUUUCCACGUGUGGAAUUUUGUAUGUACCAUAUGAAUAAGGAUCGGCUAACUCCGUGCCAGCAGCCGCGGUAAUACGGAGGAUCCGAGCGUUAUCCGGAUUUAUUGGGUUUAAAGGGAGCGUAGGUGGAUUGUUAAGUCAGUUGUGAAAGUUUGCGGCUCAACCGUAAAAUUGCAGUUGAAACUGGCAGUCUUGAGUACAGUAGAGGUGGGCGGAAUUCGUGGUGUAGCGGUGAAAUGCUUAGAUAUCACGAAGAACUCCGAUUG
rnacentral:rRNA from 1 species